rnacentral:rRNA from 1 species
UACGUAGGGGGCAAGCGUUGUCCGGAAUCAUUGGGCGUAAAGAGCGUGUAGGCGGCUCGGUAAGUCCGCUGUGAAAGUCCAGGGCUCAACCCUGGAAUGCCGGUGGAAACUGUCGAGCUAGAGUCCGGAAGAGGCGAGUGGAAUUCCUGGUGUAGCGGUGAAAUGCGCAGAUAUCAGGAAGAACACCUAUGGCGAAGGCAGCUCUCUGGGACGGUACUGACGCUGAGACGCGAAAGCGUGGGGAGCGAACAGG